GACGAACGCUGGCGGCGUGCUUGACACAUGCAAGUCGAACGGUGAAGCGCCUUCCUUUUUGGUGGGUGUGGAUGAGUGGCGAACGGGUGAGUAACACGUGAGUAACCUGCCCCCUUCUUCUGGAUAACCGCAUGAAAGUGUGGCUAAUACGGGAUAUUCUGGGUCUGUCGCAUGAUGGGUCUGGGAAAGAUAUUGUUUCGGUGGGGGAUGGGCUCGCGGCCUAUCAGCUUGUUGGUGGGGUGAUGGCCUACCAAGGCGGUGACGGGUAGCCGGCCUGGGAGGGUGGACGGUCACACUGGGACUGAGACACGGCCCAGACUCCUACGGGAGGCAGCAGUGGGGAAUAUUGCACAAUGGGCGCAAGCCUGAUGCAGCGACGCCGCGUGAGGGAUGGAGGCCUUCGGGUUGUGAACCUCUUUCGCCAGUGAAGCAGGCCUGCCUCGUUUGUGGGUGGGUUGACGGUAGCUGGAUAAGAAGCGCCGGCUAACUACGUG
rnacentral:rRNA from 1 species